rnacentral:rRNA from 1 species
GGGCCCGCACAAGCGGUGGAGCAUGUGGUUUAAUUCGAUGAUACGCGAGGAACCUUACCAGGGCUUAAAUGCAGUAUGACAGAUUUGGAAACAGAUUUUUCUUCGGACAUAUUGCAAGGUGCUGCAUGGUUGUCGUCAGCUCGUGCCGUGAGGUGUCAGGUUAAGUCCUAUAACGAGCGCAACCCCCUAUUUCUAGUUGCCAGCACAUAAUGGUGGGGACUCUAGAGAGACUGCCGGUGCAAAACCGUGAGGAAGGUGGGGAUGACGUCAAAUCAUCACGGCCCUUACGUCCUGGGGCUACACACGUGCUACAAUGGUAGGGACAGAGAGCAGCCACUUCGCGAGAAGGAGC